UGAGUAGGCGGUAAUAUGUGUCAGAUGUAAAAGGCUAUGGCUUAACCAUAGUUGGCAUUUGAAACUGUAUUACUUGAGUGCAGGAGAGGUAAGUGGAAUUCCUAGUGUAGCGGUGAAAUGCGUAGAUAUUAGGAGGAACACCAGUGGCGAAGGCGACUUACUGGACUGUAACUGACGCUGAGUCACGAAAGCGUGGGUAGCAAACAG
rnacentral:rRNA from 1 species